UACGCCUCAUCGACGCUAGCGCUCCCCCCCUUCCUUCUGAAACUGACAGAGACUCCGUCUUGCUCAUGCCCAGUCGACGCCUCUGAAGCUCUUCCCGUCUUCCUCCUUGCCAGAAGAAAGUUCGAGAAUUUUGCUUGCAAGUAUUUUUGCAGAUGCAUCUUUCAAUACUAAUAAACAGAUUCAGGAGCAUCACUUCAGGGGCAUGAAUGAGUAAACUUUGCUCUCGCCUCCAAGACACGCAUCUAUUUUCGGCCUACUAUUGUUAUGGAGCUAGCGAAGUAUUUCAUCCUUCCAAGACUCUGUGUUUUCUCUGGCAAAGCAUACUAAAAAGUACACAAGACAAAGGAGGUUGUGGAGGACGUGCACUUCUGAUUAGUCUCACAAGUCAGAACUGACGUCCUAAAUUGUUUAUUAGCCGUAUUCUUGAUUUUUUUGUUUGUGGAUUUUAAAGCACAGAGGAAGUUGGCGCAUGGAUGAAGAGGUAAUAGUGACUGGUGUACUUUUGUGGUAAAAAUAUGUAACUUACCUAAUUAGUUAACAGUUGUAUUUGUUAUACUCCAUGGAUUUUCAUGCGCGCUUCUUAAAAAUUUAUUGACUUAAUGCAAACUUAAAUAUCAUUAUAUAUCAGUACUUAAGACGGUACACAUGUAUCGGUUUCUGCAUAGAAAAUUGCUGAUCUUUUUUGUUCUUACGAAUUGUUUGUGUUUUGUGGAAUUAGUGUUCCCGUAGCCCAAAUCCUAUUGAAUUCACACACGCUUAAGUAACACUCCAGGUUGAAUUGAUCAUCUGCUCUUCUGUACGUCCAUGUUCAGAUAACAGCAGCCAUGCUUUAGGAUCUUUUAGUCCUAAUUUUUGUAAUGCAAUGUCGGUUUCCAUGAAAAUGCUACUGUCUAUUGACAUGUCAAUAGAAAUAUAUAUGAGAUGUUGUACAUGCAAACGGUAAUAUCUUGGUAGUAUAAUGAUGUACAUGCUUUAUUGAUUGGAAUAGAUCUUGAGGCUACUAUAGAAUUCACAAAUGAAACAACGCGGUUUGGAUAAUAUAUUACUUCACCUUCUUUUUACUAAAGUGUGCACACUAGAAGACAAACUGCGCCUUUGCUUCCAAUUACACCUUUGAAACUCCUGGGGUAUUUUAUUUGAUUAUUUGUCCUGUAUUAUUUGGCUGGUAUGUUAACUAUAUUAUUUUUACCCGUAUCCAAAUAUUUUUAAUUUGUGUAAAAUUAUGCUUACUUAUCUGCAGAAAAUUGCAAAUCCAUUCUUAACUGUGAAGCGCACAUGAAGAAUGUCCAUAUGCAAAGUUAUCCCUUGAUUGCUACAAGCAAUAACCCAGUUUUUAUUUCUUUUUCAAAUAUCUAGAUACGUAAUGCAUUGAUAUUACCCUAUAGUAGUUUAGCUGAUGAAUUUACCAGGUCUUAAUUGUGAACUUUGCCAUUAUUUUCCUGUGGCCAAUGUUCAUAUGGUCUGGACAUACGACACCAUCACUCUUGCAGCU